GUGACUCGGCAGCGCCGCCGGUCAUGCUCAGGCAUGUCGGGCCGCGGCCGGCGGAGGAGCUAAGCCCCGACUUGCCUCCUCUUGGCAGCGCUAUAUAAGGGCCCAGCCCGGCCCGACUCGGCCCGGAUAAACCCGCAGCCGGAGCCCGGCGUAUGGGUUGGACGAGGGCACCGAGGCAAAUGUGCAAUACCAAGAUGUCCUCCCUUACGGAUGCCUCUUCUGUCACCGCUUCGGAGCAAGAGGCGCUGGUUAAACCAAAGCCGCUAUUGUUGAAGUUGUUAAAGUUAGCUGGUGCAGAAAAGGACACUUUUACUAUGAAGGAGGUAAUAUUCUAUCUUGGACAAUAUAUUAUGUCUAAACAAUUAUAUGAUGAAAAACAGCAACAUAUUGUACACUGUGCAAAUGAUCUCCUGGGGGAUUUAUUUGGAGUAACAAGCUUUUCAGUAAAAGAACACAGGAGACUAUAUUCAAUGAUUUCCAGAAAUCUGAUAGCAAUCAAUCAACAAGAGUCUACGCUUGCUGACACACCUGAGGAUGAUGCCAGAUUUCAGCUUGAAGAAGAAAAUGUUCUUACGGAAACUAUGCAAGAGUUAGAUGAGAAGCAGACUUCAUCAAACGUGACUUCCCGACCAACUACGUCUUCUAGGAGGAGAACACACAGUGAAUCUGAAGAAAAUUCUUCAGAUGACCUGCGUAGUGACAGAAGAAAACGACACAAGUCAGACAGCAUUUCGUUGACGUUUGAUGAAAGUCUCUCAUGGUGUGUAGUCAGUGGUCUGUGCCAUGAAAGAAGCAAUAGCAGUGAUUCAACAGAUUCUCUUUCCAUUCCUGAUCUUGAUGCCAGUUCAUUAAGCGAAAAUUCUGAUUGGUUUGACCACAGUUCUGUUUCAGACCAGUUCAGUGUAGAGUUUGAAGUUGAGUCUAUUUAUUCAGAAGAUUAUAGCCAUAAUGAAGAAGGACAGGAGCUCACAGAUGAAGAUGAUGAGGUAUAUCAGCUGACUAUUUACCAGGAUGAAGAUAGUGAUGCUGAUUCAUUUGAUGAAGAUCCAGAGAUUUCUCUAGCUGAUUAUUGGAAGUGUCCCGAAUGUAGCGAAAUGAAUCCUCCACUUCCACGACAUUGCCACAGAUGCUGGGCCCUUCGUGAGGACUGGCUUCCAGAUGAAAAGAGUGAGAAAUUGGAAAAGAGCAAAUUAGAAAGUUCCUUCCCUCUAGAGUCUGAAGAAGGUUUUGAUGUUCCUGACUGCAAGAAAGUGAAAAUGACUGAAGAUAAAGAACCAGCUGUGGAGGAGAGUGAGGAUAAAGCAGUACAAAUUUCCGAGUCCCAGGAAAGUGAAGAUUAUUCCCAGCCAUCAACAUCAAGCAGCAUGUUCUGUAGCAGUCAGGAGGACUACAAGGAACCUGAGAAGAGAGAAGUGCAAGACAAAGUGGAAAGCACAGAAUCCAGCCUGCCCGUUAACAGCAUAGAGCCCUGUGUCAUAUGUCAGAGCAGACCUAAAAAUGGCUGCAUAGUACAUGGCAAAACGGGACACCUCAUGUCAUGUUUUACGUGUGCAAGAAAACUUAAGAAGAGGAACAAACCCUGUCCAGUGUGCAGGCAGCCCAUACAAAUGAUCGUACUAACUUAUUUUAGUUAGACGGAUGUUGACUGGAAAGCAGCAAAAGGAACUUCAUAAACUGGUUAAGAGAGUAGUUGCCGAUCAUCUGCCCAAUAGCGAAUGGCAGAUAAGUAGUCAGGGGAGUGCCAGGAAUGAAGACGCAUAGAGUAUAAAGUGUCUGUAAACCGGGGCUGUGAACACCCAGACAACAGGUAGGAAAAGGACAUAAAGCUGUACGGAAGAGACUCGGCAAGCCCUUGGUUGUUACUUGCCUGCAAAGAAAUACCUUCAUAGGUAAAGACUGAACUACCGGAAUUGGUCAUGUUUUGCUCGUACAUUUGAGCUAAUUUUUGAAAAAUACAACUAAAAGAUAGCAGUAUCUCUGAAGUUUUACCAUAAUUAAUUUUAACUAAACCAAACGUAAACCCCAGCUGUAUAUGUUUCUUCAAAUUCUGACUUGCCACUUGCUUGCCCCUUGCAAUUUGUAAAGUGACAGGGGGUAGCUGGAAGUUCUUGAAGUUCUUUGGUCAGCAGAAACCUUUCAUGGGGUUUGAUAACCCUUCAGCUGGAGAUAGAGAAGUCCUUUGGGCAGGUAUUUAAAUAUUUCAGGUAAGGAUGCUUCUAAUAGCAGUGUGAAUUGAGGUUGAUAGCCAUUUUCCUAUUUUUCUUAAUUUUUUAUUUGAUAAACCUAAUUGCAGUGAAGCUUGCGGAGGCUCUUCCAUUGCACCUGCAGGUCAGAACCAAACAGUGGUCGUAUCACGGUCUGGAGUCUGCAGCUGAGAGAGAAUUGCAGACGUGUUUAUUCAGGAGAAGCGUUGGUAACGUGGGGACUGUACUGAAAAAGCUUCGUCCACUGACAUCGUCUCCGAUGCCUUACGCUUUUUCAGUGCAAUACCUUCUCUACAGUCACUGUGACGGGUGUGUCAGCAGUUCUGGGGGAGCAGCUGUUGGACAAAUUAUACUGUCCCACUCGUGGCAUUCUCUUCCGCUCUAAUCUAUCCCCUUUGGCGAUCUCCAUGUUUAAAAAAAAGUACUUCAGCUCUUGCAAAGACAUGUAUGGUCACAGUGAUGAUCUGUGCUGCUCACACUCACUCAGCUUUGGGAUUUUUCUUCAAAAACAAUUUCAUCUCCCAGUAACACUUUCUGUUUUGGCAAAAGAUAAAGCGAGAGCAUACUGCAUAAUGAAUUUUCCCUUUUAUGAUCUAAAAUCUUACUUCCCUAGCAUGUCUCUGUUGUGGAGAACAGCGCUGGAAAUACCCGCUGCUCCAUAUGGUGCUGAGGAAAUGGGUAAUUUUGAUUUCUGCAUCUAUGGCCAAACUACUGUCAGAGUGAAUCUUUGUUUUGAAUUACAUUUUCUGGCUUAGUAUUAUUCCUCAUAACUUCUCGUAAAACUUUAAGGUUUGGUUUGUUUGGUUUGUUUGUUUGGUUUUUUAUUUUCCCACCCCGAAGGAUGCCUCCCAAAUAAGGGAGUGGCAAGGAUUGGUGUCUGUUCCAGUUCCUACAGGAGACGCUGGUGGGGAAGUGUGCGCCUGGGGUUUGGGGGGGCUCUGUGUGACGCCCCAGCCCGGUCUUCAGUCAGAAAGGCUGAAGGAAACCUUGGGGUCUGCCUCUGCGCCGUCACCCCAACCUGCGCUCAGGUACUUGUGGGCGAGCGGUGGCCAGCCUGGCGUCUGCCAGCCCUGUCCUUCUGGCCUUGGGUAGCGGCACAAAAGUUGGCAAAAUUUUAGUACCGAAGUUGACAAUUGUUCUUACUUGGCGAGGUCUUUGAGAUCCUUAUUUAAUAUCGCACACAUUUUAAUCUUUAAUUUAUUGCAGUUUGUAAAUAUUCUUGUGCUUACGGUUAGUGUUCUGAGCUUUAAUUUAUUGAAUUAGUCUGUUGGUACGUGUGUAGAUACGUAAACAUGCAUACCUAGUAAAUCACAGUCACAAGAAAAAUAUUUAAGAAAUUGUAGCAUUAUGAAGAGAAGCGUUCAGAUUAUAUACAGAUUAAGAGAAGCAUAAGAUUUAUGGCUUUCUUUUUUCCUUCCCUUAAAACAACCUCUGUGUUGAACCUGAACAACAUUUAUUAAACAGAGAUGGAGGCUGGUGCAACUUGAGCAGAGUGAAAAUGUUUUGAUGGUGUUUGUUUGCCUUUGGAAUGCUUUUUGUUCUCUGAGUGCAGCCAAGAAGCUGACUGACUGCUUUGUUGUGCUGGUGACAUCGGAGGCGAUGCUCUGGAAGAUGCGGUGAGGUGACCAGAGGUUUCGAGGUUAAUUUGCAGCGGGUUGUAAUUGCUUUUGCCUUUGAAUGUGUGACCAAGAAAGUUGAAGGGACGGCCAGAUGCUGACCAAAACGCGACAGUACACAGUUCUCAGUAACUGCCCAAGUCUGUUCCUUCAUGCGCUUCAGGUAGACAAGUUACGUAUGAAUGCUGCAAGAACUUGCAUUUAGUCUUUUUUGAAGUACAGUAAAGCCACUUUUUGAUUAAAUACA